UUUCAACAACGGAUCUCUUGGUUCUGGCAUCGAUGAAGAACGCAGCGAAAUGCGAUAAGUAGUGUGAAUUGCAGAAUUCAGUGAAUCAUCGAAUCUUUGAACGCACAUUGCGCCCCUUGGUAUUCCAUGGGGCAUGCCUGU
rnacentral:rRNA from 1 species